CAUCGGCAGUUUUUCGCCGAAGUCCGGAGUAAGGCCCGUCCCCCGCCUAUCCCGGGCAAACUGCGGCAGCCUAUCCCCCCUCUCCGGGCUGCCGCAACGUUUCGAGUAGAGACCGCCGUGGUUCCCCCUCCACCACGGCGGUUUUCU
rfam:Mesorhizobium sp. SOD10 genome assembly, contig: MPLSOD_Contig_6